GACGAACGCUGGCGGCGUGCUUAACACAUGCAAGUCGAGCGGUAAGGCCCUUUGGGGUACACGAGCGGCGAACGGGUGAGUAACACGUGAGUAAUCUGCCUUUGGCUUGGGAAUAACUUCGGGAAAUCGGGGCUAAUGCCUGAUGUUUACUGUCUGCUGCAUGGUGGGUGGUGGAAAGAUUUUUUGGCCAGGGAUGAGCUCGCGGUCUAUCAGCUUGUUGGUGGGGUAAUGGCUACCAAGGCUUUGACGGGUAGCCGGCCUGAGAGGGUGUUCGGCCACACUGGGGACUGAGACACGGCCCAGACUCCUACGGGAGGCAGCAGUGGGGAAUAUUGCGCAAUGGGCGUAAGCCUGACGCAGCGACGCCGCGUGGGGA
rnacentral:rRNA from 1 species